UUAACUGAAACCAAAUAGAGGUAUAUUACUGUUAAUAAUAAAAUUGAAUAAAUUAAUAUUCCAGUUAAG
rnacentral:tRNA from 1 species